CCAGCACCCCGAGUUGUCGGGACGAUUAUUGGGUCUAAAGCAUCCGUAGCCUGUUCUGCAAGUCCUCCGUUAAAUCCACCUGCUUAACGGAUGGGCUGCGGGGGAUACUGCAGAGCUAGGAGGCGGGAGAGGCAAACGGUACUCAGUGGGUAGGGGUAAAAAUCCUUUGAUCUACUGAAGACCACCAGUGGCGAAGGCGGUUUGCCAGAACGCGCUCGACGGUGAGGGAUGAAAGCUGGGGGAGCAAACCGGAUUAGAUACCCGGGUAGUCCCAGCUGUAAACGAUGCAGACUCGGUGAUGGGUUGGCCUCGAGCCAACCCAGUGCCGCAGGGAAGCCGUUAAGUCUGCCGCCUGGGGAGUACGGUCGCAAGACUG
rnacentral:rRNA from 1 species